rnacentral:rRNA from 1 species
UGAGCAAUCUGCCCUUCUCAUCGGAAUAAGCGUUGGAAACGACGUCUAAUGCCGAAUACGACCUCCUUUCGCAUGAUCGGAGGUGGAAAGCUCCGGCGGAGAAGGAUGAGCUCGCGGCCUAUCAGCUAGUUUGUGAGGUAACGCUCACCAAGGCGACGACGGGUAGCUGGUCUGAGAGGAUGGCCAGCCACAGUUGGGACUGAGACACGGCCCAGUAUUCCGUAACGGGG